AGCGAACGCUGGCGGCAGGCUUAACACAUGCAAGUCGAGCGGGCACUUCGGUGUCAGCGGCAGACGGGUGAGUAACACGUGGGAACGUACCCUUUGGUUCGGAAUAACGCUGGGAAACUAGCGCUAAUACCGGAUACGCCCUUUUGGGGAAAGGCUUGCUGCCGAAGGAUCGGCCCGCGUCUGAUUAGCUAGUUGGUGGGGUAAUGGCCUACCAAGGCGACGAUCAGUAGCUGGUCUGAGAGGAUGAUCAGCCACACUGGGACUGAGACACGGCCCAGACUCCUACGGGAGGCAGCAGUGGGGAAUAUUGGACAAUGGGCGCAAGCCUGAUCCAGCCAUGCCGCGUGAGUGAUGAAGGCCUUAGGGUUGUAAUGCUCUUUUGUCCGGGACGAUAAUGACGGUACCGGAAGAAUAAGCCCCGGCUAACUUCGUG
rnacentral:rRNA from 1 species